rnacentral:rRNA from 1 species
AACCUGCCCCAUAGUCUGGGAUACCACUUGGAAACAGGUGCUAAUACCGGAUAAGAAAGCAGAUCGCAUGAUCAGCUUUUAAAAGGCGGCGUAAGCUGUCGCUAUGGGAUGGCCCCGCGGUGCAUUAGCUAGUUGGUAAGGUAAAGGCUUACCAAGGCGAUGAUGCAUAGCCGAGUUGAGAGACUGAUCGGCCACAUUGGGACUGAGACACGGCCCAAACUCCUACGGGAGGCAGCAGUG